AACUUUUGACAAUGGAUCUCUUGGCUCUCGCAUCGAUGAAGAACGCAGCGAAAUGCGAUAAGUAAUGUGAAUUGCAGAUUUUCAGUGAAUCAGCGAAUCUUUGAACGCACCUUGCGCCCCUUGGAAUUCCGGGGGGCACACCCGUUUGAGUGUCGUGAACAUCCUUCAACCUUUCUUUGGUUUCUUAACCGGGGAAGGCUUGGACUUUGGGGGUCUUUCAUUGCUGGCAUCUUUGAAUCCAGCUCCUCCUAAAUGGUUCAAUGUGGUCUGCUUUGCCGAUCCUUGGCGUGAUAAGAUGUUUCUACGUCCUCAGUUUCGCACUAAAGAUUUAGUGCUCCCUUCAAUCCGGCAUGCAAUAAAACCAGAGUUUUAUCCCUUCGUCUCAAAUCGAUGGAGACUCCAAGCGGACCUUAACCAUAUCAAGAAGCUGAAUCG
rnacentral:misc_RNA from 1 species